rnacentral:rRNA from 1 species
UACGUAGGGGGCAAGCGUUGUUCGGAAUUACUGGGCGUAAAGGGCGCGUAGGCGGGCUGUCAAGUCUGGGGUGAAAUGCCACGGCUCAACCGUGGAACUGCCUCAGAUACUGACGGCCUCGAGGGAGGUAGGGGCGUGCGGAACUGUAGGUGGAGCGGUGAAAUGCGUUGAUAUCUACAGGAACUCCGGUGGCGAAAGCGGCGCGCUGGACCUCUUCUGACGCUGAGGCGCGAAAGCUAGGGGAGCAAACGGG